UACGUAGGGGGGCAAGCGUUGUCCGGAUUUAUUGGGCGUAAAGAGCGUGUAGGCGGCCUGACAGGUCUGCUGUGAAAACUCGAGGCUCAACCUCGAGAUGUCGGCGGAAACCGUCUGGCUAGAGUCCGGAAGAGGAGAGUGGAAUUCCUGGUGUAGCGGUGAAAUGCGCAGAUAUCAGGAAGAACACCUAUGGCGAAGGCAGCUCUCGUGGGACGGUACUGACGCUGAGACGCGAAAGCGUGGGGAGCAAACAGGAUAG
rnacentral:rRNA from 1 species